CGGGCUUAACCUGGGAAUGGCAUCUAAGACUGGUCAGCUAGAGUCUUGUAGAGGGGGGUAGAAUUCCAUGUGUAGCGGUGAAAUGCGUAGAGAUGUGGAGGAAUACCGGUGGCGAAGGCGGCCCCCUGGACAAAGACUGACGCUCAGGUGCGAAAGCGUGGGGAGCAAACAGGAUUAGAUACCCUGGUAGUCCACGCUGUAAACGAUGUCGAUUUGAAGGUUGUUCCCUUGAGGAGUGGCUUUCGGAGCUAACGCGUUAAAUCGACCGCCUGGGGAGUACGGCCGCAAGGUUAAAACUCAAAUGAAUUGACGGGGGCCCGCACAAGCGGUGGAGCAUGUGGUUUAAUUCGAUGCAACGCGAAGAACCUUACCUACUCUUGACAUCCAGAGAACUUAGCAGAGAUGCUUU
rnacentral:rRNA from 1 species